CUUCCACGUGCUAAGCAAGCACUCUACUGCUGAGCCACAAACCCAGCCCUAUUGUUUUCUUAAAUAACCUACCUCCCUAGUUGUUUAUGAUCAAGAGGAUGAAAAAUUUUCCACACCUUAACAAUUUAUAUGCCCUAAAAUUAACCCAAAUUCUCUUACUAGAGCAGCACUGGAGGACUAAGAAAAUAGGAGUAGAACCUAGAACCUUGCAAUUGGCUGAUCAAAUAAUUCUUUUUCGAGUCAACAAAGGAGUCAGCAAUGCCUUCAGUUCAUUUUGCUGUCAUUAUUCUUCAGGAUCAUGUGGCCCUCGUGUGCUACUUUUACUCUUUCCUGAACAAGAGUUUCAUCUUGUGAAUUGUUGAAUUUGCCAUUUAGUCAGAGGGUAUAUGAGUACAAAGACUCACAUUUGGACUUGCUUAGGAGAAAUAAAUAUUAUUUAAAGGUCCCGGACUUGAAGAUAAUGCUGUGGUUAUGAAUGAACAACACUGGGCUGUCUCUCUUAGGAACGACUGGAGAGUGUUUCUGAUUGCAUGUGGGAUAACUGCAUUCUUCUUUAUGCUGAUAGUAAUAAGAGGGAAGUUUUAUGAGCUUGUUUUUGGAAGAAGGUGUAUGUGUGCUACGCAGUCAAGAGAAAACACAACGAUAGAAGAGUUCUGGUUGUACUUGAACAUUGGGGUCAGCUCCUGUUUAAGACCCUGGAAUGGACACUUUAUGAUUUGUGCUUACGAGAUUCAUAGGAAGGAGUUUGGCUGAAGAUUGACCUGGGUGAGGAGAAAAGUGCAUCCUUGGGCUCUAGAGGAAACAGUUACAGGGGGAUCAAAAUAAAAGAUCUUGGC